GACGAACGCUGGCGGCGUGCUUAACACAUGCAAGUCGAACGGAAAGGCCUGCUUUCCCUUGUGGAUUGCGGGUACUCGAGUGGCGAACGGGUGAGUAACACGUGAGUGAUCUGCCCCCAACUUGGGUAUAAGCCUGGGAAACUGGGUCUAAUUCCCGAUAGGACUGCAGGGUGGUGCCUGUGGUGGAAAACGAUUUUCUAGUGGUUGGGGAUGAGCUCGCGGCUUAUCAGCUUGUUGGUGGGGUAAUGGCCUACCAAGGCGGCGACGGGUAGCCGGCCUGAGAGGGUGGACGGCCACAUUGGGACUGAGAUACGGCCCAGACUCCUACGGGAGGCAGCAGUGGGGAAUAUUGCACAAUGGGCGGAAGCCUGAUGCAGCGACGCAGCGUGGGGGAUGACGGCCUUCGGGUUGUAAACUCCUUUCGACCGCGAGGAAGCCACCUGGUUGGAAGGGUGGUGACGGUAGUGGUAGAAGAAGCACCGGCUAACUACGUG
rnacentral:rRNA from 1 species